rnacentral:rRNA from 1 species
GCUUGUCUCAAAGAUUAAGCCAUGCAUGUCUAAGUAUAAACAAAUCUAUACUGUGAAACUGCGAAUGGCUCAUUAUAUCAGUUAUAGUUUAUUUGAUGGUUCUUGCUACUUGGAUAACCGAAGUAAUUCUAGAGCUAAUACAUGCAUCAAUCCUCGACUAUUUUGAAAGAGGUGUAUUUAUUAGAUGGAAACCAAUGCGGGGCAACACGGAUUCAGGUGAUUCAUAAUAGCUUUCGGAUCGAUCUUCGGAUCGAUGCAUCAUUCAAGUUUCUGCCCUAUCAGCUUUGGAUGGUAGGGUAUUGGCCUACCAUGGCUUUAACGGGUAACGGAGAAUUAGGGUUCGAUUCCGGAGAGGGAGCCUGAGAAACGGCUACCACAUCCAAGGAAGGCAGCAGG